rnacentral:lncRNA from 1 species
AUAUUAUUUUUUUUAAUAACACUUUAUCGAACAAGACAGUGCCUUACAGCCAGAACAAACAAGACAUUUGGUCGGAAAGAAACAAGCUGCUAUUUCAGAAUUUUAGCUCGUAUCGUUUGGGUGUUGCUGGGCAGAACAAAGGUUUGGUGAGAGAUUGUGCAGAGUUUUACAAAAUUUACGAUCUCCCUAUUUAUAUUCUAACCUCUGUAUUUGGCGUUUGUAAUACUUUUCCUCCUUUAUUUUUUUGGGCUAGCCCCUUUUGAGGCCUAGUUGCCUCAUUUUGUGUAGCUAACUAAAUUCAUCAUUCUAAUGAAUAAAUCAGAUAGAGUGCUAUUUUUUUUUUAAAAAAAAGAUAUUGGCUACAUAAUUGAAAAGGUUUUUAUAUUGAUAACUAGAAAA